GGCCGACUAGCUCAGUUGGUUAGAGCGUCGUGCUAAUACAAGCUGGGCCUUAAGUAUUAACGCGAAGGUCUUGGGUUCGAUCCCCACGUUGGCCA